AGCUUGGCAACGCGAGCUUGUAACUCAAGUGAGGGCAUUAAGGUGAUGCGGACAAACUAAUAAAAGUAGACUUUAAAGUUUCUAAUGGGUAUAUUAUGGAUCAAGCACUAAUACUGGGCAUCUGUGGUGACCCUUCUUAAUAGAAGUGAGGCGUCUACAAAGAUAUUUGUGGGCAUCAGGUGUGUCCCUCUUUAAAAGAGGUUGACUUUGCAAGAAGAGAAGAGUCUGGUUUAUAACCUUUACUGACUUCACAGAGCAGGGCUCAUCCCUCUUGCAUGAUUAUAUCAACAGACCAGUUUGCUAACAAGUCCAAAACCCUAAAAGUGACAUGAGGCUUCUUCUCAUAGUUUGGACCAUCACCUUU
rnacentral:lncRNA from 1 species